GACGAACGCUGGCGGCGUGCUUAACACAUGCGAGUCGAACGGAAAGGCCCUGCUUUUGUGGGGUGCUCGAGUGGCGAACGGGUGAGUAACACGUGAGUAACCUGCCCUUGACUUUGGGAUAACUUCAGGAAACUGGGGCUAAUACCGGAUAGGAGCUCCUGCUGCAUGGUGGGGGUUGGAAAGUUUCGGCGGUUGGGGAUGGACUCGCGGCUUAUCAGCUUGUUGGUGGGGUAGUGGCUUACCAAGGCUUUGACGGGUAGCCGGCCGGAGGGGGUGACCGGCCAGAUAGGGAGGGAAAGAGGGCCGGACCAGCCACGGGGGGGAGGAGGGGGGAAGGUGGAACGGAGGGGGGAAGCCUGAGGGAGAAAGCCCGGGGGGGGGAGGGAGGCCUUCGGGUGGGAAGCCGAUUUCGCUUGGAAGGAAGGGUGAGGAACGGAAAGGGAGAAAAAGCCACGGCCAACCUAGGG
rnacentral:rRNA from 1 species